GAUGAACGCUGGCGGCGUGCCUAAUACAUGCAAGUCGAGCGAACCUCUUCGGAGGUUAGCGGCGGACGGGUGAGUAACACGUGGGCAACCUACCUUGUAGAUGGGGAUAACAUCGAGAAAUCGGUGCUAAUACCGAAUAACACUUUUCUCCACAUGGAGAAAAGUUAAAAGUUGGCUUUUGCUAACACUACAAGAUGGGCCCGCGGCGCAUUAGCUAGUUGGUGAGGUAACGGCUCACCAAGGCGACGAUGCGUAGCCGACCUGAGAGGGUGAUCGGCCACACUGGGACUGAGACACGGCCCAGACUCCUACGGGAGGCAGCAGUAGGGAAUCUUCCGCAAUGGACGAAAGUCUGACGGAGCAACGCCGCGUGAGUGAUGAAGGCCUUCGGGUCGUAAAACUCUGUUGUUAGGGAAGAACAAGUACCGUUCGAAUAGGGCGGUACCGUGACGGUACCUAACCAGAAAGCCACGGCUAACUACGUGCCAGCCGCCGCCGUAA
rnacentral:rRNA from 1 species